UCCCACAUGCAAAGCAGGAGAUGUUGCUACCUUCGAGCCGCAACCGAGAAUCAAAUAUCUACUGCCCGGCAUGGUCAAGGGCGAUGCCAAAUCUCAAUGCGGAACGUGCAAGUGCUGCGCUACCAAUAACCCCAAUAACUGUUCAAAUAUGCAGUGCUGCUAUCACGUCGAAUGCAGCUAUGUCGGCCAGCCUGACGUCGAAUGCAACAUGGUGAUCGAUGCCUGCAACUGUAACUCAUGCGGUUGAUCCUUCUAAAUACAUUAGGAUAUAAUAAAUUUAGUAAUUGAAUAAAUUGAGUAACUGGCACGGGCGAACAAGUUUGAGCGUGUUGAUUGGAUUCCCUGUGGUACAUGUUUUGGAAUUGCAAUUUAAUAAAGCAUAGCUACCUUAAGUUUUCGCUCUUCCUAUUAGCCUUCUUUAUACCAAGGUUCCUGUUAUGUUCUUGAUUGAAUUCUAAGUAAUAUAUACGCAUGGGUGGCUUG
rnacentral:lncRNA from 1 species